ACAAUUCAUUCUCUUCUCCAUCCUAUCUUACUCUAUUUUCCCGAUUACGGAAGUCAGUUCUAUUGGCCUCUCCAAACACUUCAGAUUCUUCACCUCCACACCACUCCUACUGACGUUCCCCGUCGCCGCCAAGAUGGUGAAGAUUUGAAGAAUUCCAUUUCUUCAACACGUUAGGCGAACAAUCGUUGAUUUCAGCAAAGGAAGCAUUCUUAAAUGGCCAGAUCCGUCCGGGUUUUCCCUUGUUUGACCGAGAUUUGCACCUGAUCCAGUCAGAUCGGAUUACUCUUCAUGUGGGGAAUCAGAGUUUGAUUAACACUGUAGCACAAACUCGAUGAUGGGGACACCCAGCGUUUGUAGCGCGUUUGGACCAGCUGGUGAGCUUCUAGAUUUUGAGUUUUGUUCUUUGAUGAGUUUCAAGGAUUUUAGUUUGGGAGGGAGGAUCGAUAGAGAUGUGGAAGGGCAGAAGCUGACUAAACUUUCAAAUUCAGGUGUCGAUUGUUUGAACAGGGGAGUAGAUGGGGUAGAUAAUAGUACAGUCUCUCGAGAUGCUAAAAGGAUGACUGGUAAAUUGGAUGGUUGGCUAAAUGUUGUUCAAGAGGGAAACGUGAAACAUAGUAAUGAUGGCUUUGAAGAGAUUUCUUUGGAAGCUUAGUCAGCAAGGGAUUACAGGCUGGGUGAAGGAACUAGAACCAGUAGGAAGCAGGGAGAGUGCCUAGUACAAACACUUCGUGAGACUCCGAUGUUAGAAGGACGACCGUGACGAGCUGGAUCGAGCCUGAUCUAAGGUAAUAAGUAUAAACUUAAGUCGACACGAAAUAGGCUCAGUUUAGUCUGAGAAAUAAGACUCGGUUACGAGCAAGUUACCAAGGGUGAGCAAGCAUGAAGACAGUGAAGGAGGGAUCAGUCUGAGGUUUCCGCCUUUGGAAGAUGGAACGACGUGCAUCCUGUAGGAUCAAGUGGAGGAAAGACCAGCAAGUCUUUAAUCGGGAGAUUGACCAUAUGGGUCUAUAAAAGUGACGGGUUAGCAGGACCGCUUGAUAUCACAGCAAGGGUGUUAGCACAGAGAGCUGAGACAUUGUGGGGCCAGAUCAUCCCACUCAGUGGGGUAGGAUUCAGGUUUCGGGAUGUAGCCUUUAGUAUGAGGGGAUAUUUGUGACACCCCGACUUUGGGUCGACUGUUAGAUCGAAUGCAUAGUUGAACGAACUGAGUUUUGGUCUGAUACGAGGGUCAUCACGGGCAUGACUAGUAGUCUGUCACGGGCGUCACCGUCAGAUAGACCACGAUCGUGGUCAACAGUUGGUCACGAGUGUGGUCAUUAGGAGAUCACGAACAUCGGCAUUAGUAGGUCGUAGGCGUAGUGACUAGGCAGUAACGGACGUGAUGAGCUUAUUAUAUAAGUCAGAGCAGCAACAUAGAAAUAGAGAGAAAACAAAAGAAAAUCUUCAGGCAACGAUUUCUUUCCGAGGAGAGGAAGGAGAUCGAUCAAGAUGAAAAUUAGAGCGGAUCGAUUUAGAAUUAGGGAUAGGAUUAGAGCGAGACUAGGAGAUUCUUGGGAAGGUAAUCAAUCCUCUUCUCCUCUCUUAAUCCUGUAGAUUGAAGCUCUUGUAAGACAACCUAACUGACAGGGUUUUGGAGAUUCAAUCAUUGAUUGGUCUAUUUAGGUCUAUCAGGACGGGAGGAUUGAAUUUCGGGCAGACGACUUCAAAUCAGACUCUUCGGGGAAAACUAUUUCAGAGGUGGAGGUUUAGGAUACUUUUCUGCUUUAAGCGUAGAACUAUAAUUAAUUGUCAGUAAUCCUUGUUUGAAUUUUUAGGACUGUACAGUAGCGUGUGAUCUACUAUACAGGUAGUGUGCCAUGCAGUUGAGUAUUUCAGGCUUUGUAGUAGCAUGUGAUAUACUGCACAGACAAUUGAUUAUGUUUCGAGUAUAAACUCACAUCGAGGACCUGUGCAUGUUCCACAGUUCAUGUUUAGGAUUAAGAAUCAGGACUAGAUAGACUAGCUCACGUUAUAUGUUGGUCACCCACCUCAUGGAUUACGCAAUCCACCAGGUUACAGUUCAAGCUCAGGCAGGACGUGUUGAGUAUGCCUACAGAUGCUACUCAAACGGUAUUCAGGGUGGUUUCAUGGUUUGAUCCACCAUGAGGCCAUCCGUUCAUAGCUAGGGGUAGCUAACGUUAGGAUGAUGCCUACAAUACCACAUGGCCACAUUAUUAGUUCAGUAAUUAGAUACACUUAUUGAUUCUAUCCCGGUAGAGGCUGUACAGUCCAGUGCAUGCAGUACAACUCAGUACAUAUAGUCUCAGUCAAGCUUAGUUCAGGCGCAGACUUAUCACCAGUCAGUUUCAGUUCAUUGCUUUACUUGAUUAGUCACUCAGUGCGUAUCAUUGGUCCUAUUAGAUAUUCUUUUCCUUGGUGUAUAUGUGUGUUCAGUUAUGGGUAUUUGAGCUGAUGGUGGGGAGAGAGCUGGUCGGGGUUUUGAUAUUAGUAGUAUCGUUUGAUGUAUUUUUCAGACUGGAGUUGCAUCUCCACUUGUCUUGUUUUCCGUAUGCAUUUAAGGAUUCAUAAUCCGUGUCGGUCAGUAUUAAAAGGGUUUAAUUAACAGUUUCAUGUUCAGUCUUAAUGUGUGCUUUAUGCUUUGCUUAGUAAUUGUGGGUGAGUUUGGUCCAAUUCGGAACUCGAGUAAAAUUUUUUUAUUGAACUUGUGGUUCGAUGGUGACUCUUUUUAGAGUGGGGUUUCACAAUAUUGUUGAAGAAAAUGAAGAUUUUUCAAGUAAGUUGGACUCGCAGAUGCUUUCGUAGAUUAACAUGGAGAAAGUAGGGUUAGAGAUAAAGGAAGAUGAGCUCUCAUGUAGAAAUGGGAAUUUCGAGGAUGACGAUGAUGAUUCAAUGUAUAGUUGUGGCGGGCGACAAAAAUUUUUCUUCUUCUUUCAUGGAUGGCUUAUCCAAGAAUUCUCCAUUUUCUUUCUAGCCUCUUAAAUCCAUC
rnacentral:lncRNA from 1 species